CAAGCGGAAGUCGAAAAGCUUAUAGAGUAGACA
rfam:Lutibacter sp. LPB0138, complete genome.